ACGUAGGGUGCAAGCGUUAAUCGGAAUUACUGGGCGUAAAGCGUGCGCAGGCGGUUUCGCAAGUCAGAUGUGAAAUCCCCGGGCUCAACCUGGGAACUGCAUUUGAAACUACGAGGCUUGAGUGUGGCAGAGGGGGGUGGAAUUCCACGUGUAGCAGUGAAAUGCGUAGAGAUGUGGAGGAACACCGAUGGCGAAGGCAGCCCCCUGGGCUAACACUGACGCUCAUGCACGAAAGCGUGGGGAGCAAACAG
rnacentral:rRNA from 1 species